UUGGCGCAAUCGGUAGCGCGUAUGACUCUUAAUCAUAAGGUUAGGGGUUCGAGCCCCCUA
rnacentral:tRNA from 1 species